UUACGCGUACUGACUAGCAAAUAAAUAAUAUACUUGCAGUCAAUCAAGGUCGGAGCACUGCCUGGUUGUAUUCUCUGGCUGUACAAACCCACAAACAUUCAAAGAGUUUUCACAGGUCCAAUUGCUGAAAGAAAGGAAAGGUCUUCCCUCUAGUGGUGUACACGUGGAAAUACACACCGAAAAGGCCUACAUUUUGCAAGUGUUGGGGUACUCGACCUUGGACUCGGACUCGAGUCCGGACUCGAGUCCAGUUUUGAUUGGACUCGGACUUGUCACGGACUUGACAAGACAGCGGUGAAGCCAAAUGGUCUCCCUUUGCUGAACCUUUAUGUUCUGUGCAGAUCUGGGUGAGGCCUGUGUGCCAGCGGAGUGUAAAAUGUGCCAGUUGGAUUGACACCCGAAUGACAGAUACCAGUGAAACUCACUCUCGCUUCAGACACCUGAGAUUAUUCUCAAGCAGCUCAAGCCAUAAACAAAACAUUAUCAAUGGCUGCACUCGUGGAUUGCCAUCUCUCUUUUUUUUUCUUUUGUGUUGCCAUUUCUCCCCCACCCCCGUUAUUCAAUAAAACAUGGAAGAAGACUAAAA
rnacentral:lncRNA from 1 species